rnacentral:rRNA from 1 species
GAAUAUUGGACAAUGGGCGCAAGCCUGAUCCAGCAAUGCCGCGUGUGUGAAGAAGGCCUGCGGGUUGUAAAGCACUUUCAGUAGGGAGGAAGGUCUCGUAGCUAAUAAUUGCGAGAAUUGACGUUACCUACAGAAGAAGCACCGGCUAACUCUGUGCCAGCAGCCGCGGUAAUACAGAGGGUGCAAGCGUUAAUCGGAAUUACUGGGCGUAAAGGGUGCGUAGGUGGUUUGUUAAGUCAGGUGUGAAAGCCCUGGGCUUAACCUAGGAAUUGCAUUUGAAACUAACAAACUAGAGUACGAUAGAGGGAAGUGGAAUUUCCGGUGUAGCGGUGAAAUGCGUAGAUAUCGGAAGGAACACCAGUGGCGAAGGCGACUUCCUGGAUCGUAACUGACACUGAGGCACGACAGCGUGGGGAGCAAACAGG